UAGGGAAUCUUCGGCAAUGGGGGCAACCCUGACCAAGCAACGCCGCGUGAGUGAAGAAGGUUUUCGGAUCGUAAAGCUCUGUUGUAAGAGAAGAANGAGUGUGAGAGUGGAAAGUUCACACUGUGACGGUAACUUACCAGAAAGGGACGGCUAACUACGUGCCAGCAGCCGCGGUAAUACGUAGGUCCCGAGCGUUAUCCGGAUUUAUUGGGCGUAAAGCGAGCGCAGGCGGUUAGAUAAGUCUGAAGUUAAAGGCUGUGGCUUAACCAUAGUACGCUUUGGAAACUGUUUAACUUGAGUGCAGAAGGGGAGAGUGGAAUUCCAUGUGUAGCGGUGAAAUGCGUAGAUAUAUGGAGGAACACCGGUGGCGAAAGCGGCUCUCUGGUCUGUAACUGACGCUGAGGCUCGAAAGCGUGGGGAGCAAACAGGAUUAGAUACCCUGGUAGUCCACGCCGUAAACGAUGAGUGCUAGGUGUUGGGUCCUUUCCGGGACUCAGUGCCGCAGCUAACGCAUUAAGCACUCCGCCUGGGGAGUACGACCGCAAGGUU
rnacentral:rRNA from 1 species